CCAGUAGUGUAUGCUCCUUCUAAAGACUAAGCCAUGCAUGCCUUCGAAUAAGAAGUCGCAAUAUCUGAAUCUGCGAACGGCUCCGCAAACCAGUUGUUGGCUAUUACAGGAAAGACUCGGGAACGGGAACUUCAUUGAUCCCGAUCCCUUGGCUGCCAUGGAUAAUCGCGGUAAUUCUGAGACUAAUACAAGAACGUACCACCUAACCGACCGGGUAACUGGGAGGUUGGGGGUCGUGUGGGCUUAAGCUGCAAUCGAUCGAAUGAAUACACACACGAUCAAACCACCAUAAACAACGAUCGUGAGCUCCAGUCUUACUACCCGCAAGGGGAAAAGCGUGGCUCUCGUUCGGGUGGGCCCAGUAAUGCGCUUCUGACCUAUCAACUAUAAUGCGAUUCCAUGGACUGCGAUGGUCACAACGGGUACAGAGGAUAAGGGUUCGAUCCUGGAGAGUGGGCCUGAGAGAUUGCUCAUACUUCUAAGGAAGGCAGCAGGCGCGCAAAGUUCCCAAUGGGCAAAGCCCGAGGGCGUGAAGGGACAUAUGAAUACCUGCCAAUGGUGGGUAAUUCAAAUGG
rnacentral:rRNA from 1 species